AGGGAGGUGGUGCCGUUGGAGGGUGUUCAUAUUCACAGUAACAUGUACAAUCUGGAUUCAGGCACGAGUCAGAGCACAGAGGGCUAUAUGCAACAAUUUGGAGAGGACUCUCCCCAGACCAGAGAGAGUGGGAAACACAUGCAACCUACGCGGCAACAGCGAUGUAGUUCGACUUCAAGAAGCAGCACAUCUAAAUGACCAGCCAACCUCGUUAAGCCCAGGCUCUUGCUAAUG